GCAAGAAUUUGAUCAGGAAACUAUCGCUUGCAGAUCAUCCUCGCACCUUAUCACAAACGCUCGUUCACCACUUUGGCGACGAACGAAGAUCUUUCCGUCCUUGUGCCAAACACAAGGCACUGCACCCGGAUGACGCUGGAGGUUGAUUUGCGGGGGCGGGACUGUGCUCGUGGCCUCCAGCAGUGCAGACUGUGAUGCAGAUGGGCCAGCAGCCUGACUUGCGUCGCAGUUGGAACCGCAGCGUUGGACAAGGCACUGCACCCGGAUGACGCUGGAGGUUGAUUUGCGGGGGCGGGACUGUGCUCGUGGCCUCCAGCAGUGCAGACUGUGAUGCAGAUGGGCCAGCAGCCUGACUUGCGUCGCAGUUGGAACCGCAGCGUUGGGUACGUCGAUGCUCACUGCAAUGGCAGAGGAGCGGUUAGCCCGGUGUUCGUUGCUUGU